rnacentral:misc_RNA from 1 species
CGCCGGGUGCGUGAACGUUCACGAAGGGGGAAACGAUCGAGAGAAGGAAAAAAGAGGAGGAAAAAGCCGCGCGGCGGGUCUACGUUCGCGGACCGGAUGUGCUGCCGCGCUCGCGCGCACGGCAGAUGGAAGAGGCGCCCGACGCCAUGUUCGCCAUGUUUUGAUGUCGUCAUCCCGCUCUCCCUCUCCGCCCCUCCCCCCCCUCCGCGGACGUGUUACGCUGUGCAGCACAAUAGCCCGUCGUGUUUUUUAGCGUGUGUUUUUCCGUAGAUUCGAAACCGCGCGUUCCCGGUGGUUCCUGGUGGCUCGGCCCCUCGGUCGCGCGUUCUCCAGCACCCUCCCCGUUCGAUCGUAUGCACGUCGCGCGAGGCUGGAUAACCCUCCUCGUGGAAGAUUCGCUGGGCCCACGGAUGCCUUCAUGUUCGUGGAAGUAGCCGCGGGGGGGAUCCGCGAGCAUCGUCCACGCGGCAAUCGUGUCUCGGUGCGAGACGGGAGAAUCGAUCGGAUCGCCUGUCGCCAGUUACGUUAGCACUGCCUCUCUCUCUCUCUCUCUCUUUAUUUCGCAUCGACGGCGUCAACACACUUUGACGUUUUUCCCCUUGGCGUCAGCGAGACGUGGUUACAUCACGCCACCCUGAGGGGGCGGAUCCAGCGGAUCCCUCGGAUCCUAGCGGAACGGGCAGAGCGCGCCUCGCGUGCGUGCGUACGUACGUGCGUGCGAGCGUGCGUGCGUGCGUGCGUGCGUACGUGCGUGCGUACGUGCGCGCCUACGUCCUCCUUUCACGUCUUCUUCGUCACGAUUACACCAAGAGGCACGAGGAAAGGGAUUCGUUGGUAAAAUGGAGUUGCGCCUGCACUCGCCAGCAGGAGCGGAACCGAUCGUGUAUCAGUGGCCUCUUACCUCGGGAUCGGGGUCUGAUCGUCACGAUGGAGCAUUGGACGUUAUCGAAACUAUGAGAUGGGUUUGCGAAGAUUUGCCAGAUUUGAAAUUACCCUUAGAGAAUAAUAUCCUUUGUAACUAUGAUCCGAGAGAUUACGAAAGUAUGAAAAGCUUGUGUGACAGAUUCAACAGAGCGAUUGAUAGUUUAGUACAAUUGGAAAAAGGUACCAGCCUACCAUCCCAGAGACUAAAUAAGAGACCUAGUAGGGGUUUACUUCGACAUAUACUCCAGCAAACUUAUAAUCAAGCUGUGGUUGAACCAGAUAAAUUAAAUCAAUAUGAACCUUUUUCACCUGAAGUCUAUGGUGAAACCAGUUAUGAGCUUGUAUGUCAGAUGAUUGAUCAAAUCGAUGUGACAGACGACGAUGUCUUUGUUGAUUUAGGAUCUGGAGUUGGUCAAGUAGUUCUUCAGAUGGCAGCUGCAACUUUGUGUAAAAUUUGUAUCGGCGUAGAAAGAGCUGAUGUACCAUCAACUUAUGCACAGAGCAUGGAAGUAAAUUUUCGAAAAUGGUUGAAUUGGUAUGGAAAACGAUGUGGGGAUUAUCGUUUAGUGAAGGGAGACUUUUUAGCGGAUGAACAUCGUGAAAGUAUCACCGGAGCUACGAUAGUGUUUGUUAAUAAUUUUGCUUUUGGCCCGACAGUUGAUCAUCAAUUAAAAGAACGCUUUGCUGAUUUACGUGAUGGCGCACGUAUAGUAUCAUCGAAGUCGUUUUGUCCGUUAAACUUUCGAAUAACGGACAGAAAUCUGAGUGAUAUUGGUACAAUAAUGCACGUCUCAGAGAUGUCCCCAUUAAAGGGUUCUGUCUCUUGGACUGGUAAGCCGGUAUCGUAUUAUUUGCACGUAAUCGAUCGAACUAAAUUAGAACGUUAUUUCCACCGCUUGAAAAACAAUAAACAAGGUGGCUUAGAUGAAAACUCUGAUUCUGUGAUAAGCAACACUGCCAGCAAUAGUAGUAAGGUUUCUAAUAGGAACGAAAGAGGUGAUAGAGCCAAAAGAGACCUUUCAAGGCAAUUGGACAGUCCGAAUAAUUCGGAGCAGCAAGGAACAAAUAGCGACUCUGAGCUAGACGAAAAUGCUAUUAAAAAUCGACGACAGCCGAACAAAAUACGAAGGAAAUUCAAUAGAAAAACUUCAAACGGCAUUACGAGAGCUCCAGCUAGAGGUAGACAGAGAGGAAGAGGUGUUAAGAGAGCCAAGCCUAAGAAGACGAUCAAUAUAUCUGGAUUAGAUCUGUUACAUAGUCAAACUUUGCUCAGUACAUCACCUCAAGCUCUUGGGAAAAAACCUCCACCUGCUCCUGGUUGUGUAGAUCAACAAUUAUCUUCAUUGACGCUUUCUUUACAGUCGCAUUCCACCUCGGUACACGAGGAACUCAGUAUACCAUCGGCUCCGUCCGCGACUCCUUAUGCUCUGCAAAUUCUUUUGGACUUGUAUAGGGACCAAUUCAUGCUCAUGUUAGAAUCAAUGAGAACACCCACCUACAAAGUAUCUGUUAAUACGGAUAUCGCGAAAGAGAGAGAAAGGAACUCUAAACUUCAAUCGAGAGCGGCGCAAUUGGAAAAGCAAAUUAAAGUACUCAUAGAUGAUAGUGUAGCUCUCUUGAAGGCGAGAAUGACUGAAUUAGGUAUCAAUGCUACGUCACCUGGGGAUCUGCUAGCGAAAGCUAAGGAAAUAGUUCUAAGACAUAAACAACUACAAGCUAAAGCGAGUAAAUUGCAAGCACAAGUGGCGUCUAUAGAAACUGAACAAAGCAGAUUAGUGGCACUUAGACAUCAGGAGUUACAGGAAAAAUACAACGGAAAUGUGAACGGCAUAACAAAUCCACCUCAAUCACUUACUCAGGAUUAUAUAUUAAAAGAAAUUUCCGCCACACUUUCCCAGCGGAAACGAUUACAUUCUCAAGUUUCGAAAUUGGAACACGAAUUAAAUCUUUUGGAAAGAACAAGUAAUGAGAAACAAGUAGCUGCAAUUGCUCAGCAACAAAGAGAUAUGAUAGGAAGUAAACACUCGCAAAGUUUACAUCAUCAUCAACAGGGUAAUAAAAAUGGAACAACGCGAAAAAGUAGGGAAGGUCGUUCGAGAUCUCAAGAAUGGCCCGAUGUGCCAGAUAUAGGAAAGAUACAAGAAAAUAAUCCAGAAAUAUUGGCUCAGAAGAUUUUGGAAACCGGAAGACAGAUAGAGGCGGGUCGUAUUCCACACAGGCAGAGUACGAAUGGCAACAAUAAUUCCAGAACUAGACUGCCACAAGCAUCUCUCAGUUUUUCUAAUGCAUCAUCCGCUAAUUCGUCCACGCCAUCACCACAGACAGUUAAUAAAGAUGCGAAUAGAACUCAAGAACCACCAAGAGUCGCUAAUUUUGAAGACAGAUUGAAAAGCAUAAUCACGAGUGUAUUAAACGAGGAUCAACAAAAUAGGACUAAGCAACAACAGAUGCAGCUACAAGUGCAAUUGCAAAGUCAAUCUGAACCCGACAGAAAGCGCGCUCCAUUGCCGCAAAGUGUCUCUACUCCGGAUUAUACUCAAGUUUCACCUGCGAAACUAGCACUUCGUCGUCAUCUCUCGCAGGAACGCAUCUCGUCAUCUCAUUCGACAUCGUCCGACAGAUCAACGGUCGAUUCUAGACAAUCAUCGAGUCACGACAAUCGACUUGUAACUAGUGGAAGUGGAUUGCUCGUCUCUACGGUCGGUGAACUCAUGAAUGGAGAAAUAGAAAGGACUUUGGAAAUAUCCAAUCAGUCUAUAAUAAACGCUACCGUUGACAUGAGCUCAAUAAUAAGACCAGAAACUGUAUACUCUCCUAUUAGUAGACCAGCGAGUGCCGAAGGAGACGCCGGUUUGUCGACUUUGGCACAUGUAGCUAGUUAUGUGCCUACUUCGGGAACUUCCACUUCCACGCCCACAACUAGUUCAAGAUCGUCCGUACUUUUUACUCCAGUAACACAACCGCAAAGAUAUACACCGGUCCAAUUACCACGAGCAGACAUUAAGCCUUAUCAUGAAUCCUAUUUUUCGGAUAAUCCCGCUCAGUCACUCAAUCAAUCUCACUCGGCGCCCCUACCUCUACAUUCGUCCCAAACUACGUCAAAUGGGGAAUUGUUGCCCGUAGAAGGGCUCGCAGCAUCAUUACAUGCCCGAAUAUUGAACAACCAUAAUAAUAGUGGCAAAACCGAAUCGACCCUUUCUAACAAUACAAGAUUUCAGCCAUAUCCACGAUACGCAACGAACAGUAAUAGUGGCAAUGCAAAUACGACAAAUGCAAAUGCAGUAACAGCAAUUUGUCAAUCGCAAACAUCAAUGUCCAUAAAAACGGAAGCGGUUGUAUCAUCGGUAAGCACAAGCGGAGCGCCCCUAAGUCCUCUCGUGGAGCCGCAUUCUAAUACGUCGACGCCGUUAGUCGACGAACCUCAAAUGACGACGCAGAGGCAACGAAAUGUCGUUGGAGAUGACGAUGCACUGUAGCUGUUUAUUGGUUAGUUCUCUCUGUCACAUACUCAAUCUCAGAAUCCCUGAAGCUUGUUUUAUUAGAGAUUGAGACACACACACAGAUCACAGAGAAGGGAGAAAUGAAAAAAUACACGGCUGCCUGUGGGUUGGUUCGUCGGUACAUUGUCGCCGAUGGAGAAGCUGAUUGGCAGGAUCGUAUUAGUUCAGGAUUUGAUCGCUUGGUCGCCUUUGCUUCCACAGAAUUGGAUAAACGUAGACGAUCGACGGAAGGAGUGAAUACUAGUCCCGAUAGUGGACUAGGUUCGGAUAGCGCUGUAACGGGACCACCGCCUGUAGUACCUUCGCCC